rnacentral:rRNA from 1 species
CGCGUAGGUGGCUCGCCAAGCGGGCGGUGAAAGCCUGGGGCUCAACCCCGGGUCGGCCGUGCGAACUGGUGGGCUGGAGCACUGUAGAGGCAGGCGGAAUUCCGGGUGUAGCGGUGGAAUGCGUAGAGAUCCGGAAGAACACCGGUGGCGAAGGCGGCCUGCUGGGCAGUUGCUGACACUGAGGCGCGACAGCGUGGGGAGCAAACAGGAUUAGAUACCCUGGUAGUCCACGCCGUAAACGAUGGGCACUAGGCGCUUGGGGGAGCGACCCCUCGAGGGCCGGCGCUAACGCAUUAAGUGCCCCGCCUGGGGAGUACGGCCGCAAGGCUGAA